UGGACACGCUGGCGGCGUGCUUAACACAUGCAAGUCGAACGGUGACGAGGAGCUUGCUCCUCUGAUCAGUGGCGAACGGGUGAGUAACACGUGAGCAACCUGCCCCAGACUCUGGGAUAACAGUUGGAAACAGCUGCUAAUACCGGAUACGAGACGGAGAGGCAUCUCUACCGUCUGGAAAGUUUUUCGGUCUGGGAUGGACUCGCGGCCUAUCAGCUAGUUGGUGAGGUAAUGGCUCACCAAGGCGACGACGGGUAGCCGGCCUGAGAGGGCGACCGGCCACACUGGGACUGAGACACGGCCCAGACUCCUACGGGAGGCAGCAGUGGGGAAUAUUGCACAAUGGGCGAAAGCCUGAUGCAGCGACGCCGCGUGAGGGAUGACGGCCUUCGGGUUGUAAACCUCUUUCAGCAGGGAAGAAGCGAAAGUGACGGUACCUGCAGAAGAAGCACCGGCUAACUACGUG
rnacentral:rRNA from 1 species